rnacentral:rRNA from 1 species
CAACGCCGCGUGAGGGAGGAAGGCCUGUGGGUUGUAAACCUCUUUUCUCAGGGAAGAAGUACUGACGGUACCUGAGGAAUCAGCAUCGGCUAACUCCGUGCCAGCAGCCGCGGUAAGACGGAGGAUGCAAGCGUUAUCCGGAAUUAUUGGGCGUAAAGCGUCCGUAGGCGGUUCAGAAAGUCUGCUGUUAAAGCUCACAGCUCAACUGUGAAUCGGCAGUGGAAACUUCUGGACUAGAGAGUGGUAGGGGUAGAGGGAAUUCCUAGUGUAGCGGUGAAAUGCGUAGAUAUUAGGAAGAACACCAGUGGCGAAGGCGCUCUACUGGGCCAUUACUGACGCUGAUGGACGAAAGCUAGGGGAGCGAAAGGGAUUAGAUACCCCUGUAGUC